rnacentral:rRNA from 1 species
AACGUAGGAGACAAACGUUAUCCGGAGUUACUGGGCGUAAAGGGCGUGCAGGCGGUUUCUUAAGUUCGUCGUGAAAUCGCCCGGCUUAACCGGGCGGGGUCGAUGGAUACUGGGAGACUUGAGGGCGGUAGAGGCGUGUGGAAUUCCGGGUGUAGUGGUGAAAUGCGUAGAUAUCGGGAGGAACGCCAGUGGCGAAGGCGACUUUCUGGUCUGUAACUGACACUGAGGCGCGAAAGCGUGGGGAGCAAACAGG